CUCGUCUUCCUGCAUUGGUUCUCCCUGAUCUAGAGCCUUAUAUUUAUAAAUUGCCAUUAUCUGUGCAGCAGCCUUCCUCUCUGCUAUAUUUUCUAUCAGGCUUUGCACAGACCUAACUACUAAGGGUAUAAGACACGGCAGGAGUAGACACAACAUUAAAAUCAGUAGGACUCCACCUACCACUGCCUUAAGCCCUCCAGACCACUCAUACCAGCUACCAAACCAACUACUUGGAUUGUACCCUUUCCAUACCUGAGUAGGCACAUGCGCUAGUUUAACCAUAUGGCUAGUAAGCUCAGCUAUUGCUUGCCCUUCGUCAUCUAUUUGAAGACAGCAAUUGCUCAGGUUAAACUUCCCACAUACACCUCCCUCUACUGCCAAAAGAUAAUCCAAGGCUAAUCUAUU